AAGACUAUAUUUCACAGAAUCAUUUCUGUAGUCAGUGUUCAUUAAUUUCUUUGCAAAUCGAGUGUAUUAGCAGCCGCGAUGAGGAGGUGUAUCGUUUUAUCUGACAGCGUGAGGUUUAUGAACUUCAUUUCUAAUUUAAUCUUGUGGCAUAUUAGAAAUGAUCUUUCUUCGGUGAUCGCUCGGUUACAACGGAUAAAACGACUUCUGAGUGGU
rnacentral:snoRNA from 1 species